rnacentral:misc_RNA from 1 species
CGGCGGGGCUAGCGGGGC